ACGUCGGGUUGCAAACGAAGCCAUAUACGAGCAGGCUAAUUCUAAUCAAUCCUAAUCCCCAUUCCAUUGCCAUUGGUCCUAGAGGAGACAGCUUUUGAAAGAUGACUGGUAUUUUAUUGGUGCGACGGAUAAUUACAGAAGCUGACAUGGCGCUUUUUAAAGAUGGCUGGUAUUGCAUAGGCUAUCCAAUUGCUGCUCCAGCUGAUUGAGACCGGUUGUAUCUAGCAGUUGAAUAUUGUUCUCUUCGAGGUGCCUGCACAGCAAUCAAAACCAUUAAAUGAUACUACUUCCGUCUAAAGAGUGGCAUGUGGGAUCUGUGGUGUGCAUACUGUAAUUACCAUUUGAGUAUCUGUGUCAGCUCAUCAGCGCUACAGACAUUUUCAGAAUCAAGCUUCUGCUGCAUGUUCCCACAGACAUGUUCUAUGCUUGUCAUCGUCAUAUAUAAUUGGGUAAAGUAUAAAUAUUUAACCAGAAAAUAUAUAUAUAGACACGAUGAAAAUAUAUGAAAGUGUGUUCUACAUUAAACAAGUUAACGACAUUAUGCAUAACCGCUGUCCUGCUGAAUGUGGUGACUUGUUACCUCUAGAUGCACACAUAAGCACCUUUAGUAUAUGUUCGAAGUUUCGAGGACAGCAUUAUGCUUACUAGUUUUGCUUCGCAUAGAAAGAUCUCAGUUAGUUGCCCUGUUUGAAAAAUCCACAAUUUCCUUAUUACCGGUAAUGCUCAUGACUUUGUCAAGUCUGAAGAAUAAUUGUGGCAAACAAUGUUUGCCUCAUUAAUUGCAAUGUUCUGAGCAUUACUCUGCAAGCUAGGGUUGAGGAUCCAGGAUUUGUCGUAAAAUUAAUUUGACAUAGAUGUUGGUUGCUAUAGCUUCAAAUUCAUAGUGUGCAUUCACUUGAUAGAUUGAUCCAGGGACAUGU